AUCUAUGGCCAUGCCACCCUGAAUGUUCUUGAUUUCAUCCGAUCUCUGAAGCUAAGCAGGGUCAGGCCUGGUUAGUACUUGGAUGGGAGACCAUGUAGGAAUACCAGGUGCCCAUGUAGG
rnacentral:rRNA from 1 species